rnacentral:rRNA from 1 species
GUGGCAGCCGCCGCGGUAAUACGGAGGGUGCAAGCGUUACUCGGAAUCACUGGGCGUAAAGCGCAUGCAGGCGGCCUAAUAAGUUGGAAGUGAAAUCCUAUGGCUCAACCAUAGAACUGCUUCCAAAACUGUUAGGCUAGAGUCUGGGAGGGGAAGAUGGAAUUAGUUGUGUAGGGGGUAAAAUCCGUAGAGAUCACUAGGAAUACCAAAAGCGAAGGCGAUCUUCUGGAACAGUACUGACGCUGAGAUGCGAAAGCGUGGGGAGCAAACAGGAUUAGAUACCCUGGUAGUCCACGCAGUAAACGAUGAAUGUUAGUCGUUGGUAUGCUAGACAUAUCAGUGAUGCAGUUAACACAUUAAACAUUCCGCCUGGGGAGUACGGUCGCAAGAUUAAAACUCAAGGGAAUUGACGG